UGAUCAGCCAUGCCGCGUGGUGUGAAGAAGGUCUUCGGAUUGUAAAGCACUUUACCCUUGGGAGGAAGGGCAGUAAGUUAAUACCUUGGUGUUUUGACGGUUACCAACAGAAUAAGUACCGGCGUAACUUCGUGCCAGCAGCCGCGGUAAUACGAAGGGUGCAAGCGUUAAUCGGAAUUACUGGGCGUAAAGCGCGCGUAAGUGGUUCAGCAAGUUGGAUGUGAAAUCCCCGGGCUCAACCUGGGAACUGCAUCCAAAACUACUGAGCUAGAGUACGGAAUAGGGUGGUGGAAUUUCCUGUGUAGCGGUGAAAUGCGUAGAUAUAGGAAGGAACACCAGUGGCGAAGGCGACCACCUGGACUGAUACUGACACUGAGGUGCGAAAGCGUGGGGAGCAAACAAGAUUAGAUACCCUGGUAGUCCACGCCGUAAACGAUGUCGACUAGCCGUUGGGAUCCUUGAGAUCUUAGUGGCGCAGCUAACUGCGAUAAGUCGCACCGCCUGGGGAGUACGGCCGGCAUAGGUUUAAAACUCAAAUGGAAUUGACGG
rnacentral:rRNA from 1 species